GUGCCAGCCGCCGCGGUAAUACGGAGGGGGCGAGCGUUGUUCGGAAUCACUGGGCGUAAAGGGCGCGCAGGCGGUCGGUCGCGUCAGGUGUGAAAGCCCCGGGCUCAACCUGGGAGGUGCACUUGAUACGGGCCGGCUCGAGAACGGGAGAGGAGUGUGGAAUUCCCAGUGUAGAGGUGAAAUUCGUAGAUAUUGGGAAGAACACCAGUGGCGAAGGCGACACUCUGGCCCGGUUCUGACGCUGAGGCGCGAAAGCGUGGGGAGCAAACAGGAUUAGAUACCCUGGUAGUCCACGCCGUAAACGAUGUGCGCUAGCCGUCGGGCGGCAUGCCGUUCGGUGGCGUAAGCCAACGCGUUAAGCGCACCGCCUGGGGAGUACGGCCGCAAGGUUAAAACUUAAAGGAAUUGGCGGGG
rnacentral:rRNA from 1 species